rnacentral:rRNA from 1 species
GACGACGCUGGGCGGCGUGCUUAAAACAUGCAAGUCGAACGGACUUCUCAUGAAGCUUGCGAUUGAGAAGUUAGUGGCGGACGGGUGAGUAACGCGUGGGCAACCUGCCCCUGAGCCCGGGAUAACAGUUCGAAAGGACUGCUAAGACCGGAUAUACUUGCGGUGAAGCAUUUCACUGCAAGGAAAGGGAACGCUCAGGGAUGGGCCCGCGUCCCAUUAGCUAGUUGGUGAGGUAACGGCCCACCAAGGCGACGAUGGGUAGCCGGCCUGAGAGGGUGAACGGCCACACUGGGACUGAGACACGGCCCAGACUCCUACGGGAGGCAGCAGUUGGGAAUCUUCGGCAAUGGGCGCAAGCCUGACCGAGCAACGCCGCGUGAGUGAUGAAGGUUUUCGGAUUGUAAAGCUCUGUCUUCCGGGACGAUAAUGACGGUACCGGAGGAGGAAGCCACGGCUAACUACGUG